UACGUAGGGGGCUAGCGUUGUCCGGAAUCAUUGGGCGUAAAGCGCGUGUAGGCGGCCCGAUAAGUCCGCUGUGAAAGUCCAGGGCUCAACCCUGGAAUGCCGGUGGAUACUGUCGGGCUCGAGUCCGGAAGAGGCGAGUGGAAUUCCUGGUGUAGCGGUGAAAUGCGCAGAUAUCAGGAGGAACACCAAUGGCGAAGGCAGCUCGCUGGGACGGUACUGACGCUGAGGUGCGAAAGCGUGGGGAGCAAACAGG
rnacentral:rRNA from 1 species